GGACAGGAGGGUGACCUAGUUGCCACAUCUGUGCCCCAUUGUCAGAGCUAAUCUGGUUGACCUGGUUGACUAGGUGAGUAUCCCCAUCCUCCUUCACCACUCUGUGUGUCCUUCCCAGAGCUAUGUGCUUAGUACAAGAUGAUGUCUUUCCCUGAUAGAAGAGGAUUGCUCUUUGGUCAAGGGUCUAUGAGUGGCCACACUCCCCUNCUAGACCCUCUAAAUGAGCCCUCAAAAACUCCAUAGCAAACAACACAUUUAACAGGAAUAUUAAAUGCUUUGUCCCCAUAAUAAGACCAAGAAAGGACAAACCCUCUUCUU
rnacentral:snRNA from 1 species